UGUAUAUUUUAAGUUAUAUUGUGAUGUGUUCAACUGUGAGCUUCUUUGAGUCUCCAUGUGGAGAGAUAAAGUGGGAUAUAAAUAAAUAAAUAAAUAAACGCUAUGCGGCAAUGUUAUAUCAAGUUUAUUAUUAUUAUUAUUAUUAAAUCUAAAAUUAUAUCAAAUUGAGCAGGGAGAGUGUGCGUGGCCUUGCGAGGCGGCUGCUGUAUUUCAGUAAAUGCCUUCCAUUGAUUCAUGCGAAAAGGAAAAAUUUAAAAAGCACAAUCACUUGGCUGUCUUCUCUCUCUGAAAUUAAAAAGCAAAAGCAACAAAAGCAUUAUGUUGCUUUUAUUCAAUAUUCCAGGCGGCAAUCCUAUUAAAAACUUUUCUAAGAUUUAGGCUUCAUUAUAUAUGAUCAGUGUAGGCUAGGUAUGGGCAAACUUUUUGUAGGCUGUUAGAAAUUGUAGAAGCUGAAGUCCAAAACACCCGGAGGACUGAAGUUUGCCCAUGGCUGGUGUAGACUCAGAUAAUGCGAUUUAACUUUGCUGGACUUUAUUAUAUAAGUCUACACUGACCACACAAAGCAGUUUGUAUGUUUCCCCCCCUUUUGAGUAGUUUAUCAAUAUUAUUGUGUCAUUAUUGUUUAUCAUUAUUGUCUUACUAGAGCUGUUAAACACAGGAGGAAUAUUAGAAAAUUAAUCAGAACAUACUGUAUUUCACAACAGGGCCACCUUGUGGUAAUGAGAUUUAUUUCAGUUAUUACACUAUGUAACAAAGCUUGAAAAAAAAUUUUUGUUCCUGGUUUGAAAAUAUUAUUUCUUGUUUAAUUGUGUGGUAUUUACUUUGAAAGUACAGUAGAGUCUCACUUAUCCAACACUCACUUAUCCAACGUUCUGGAUUAUCCAACACAUUUUUGGAGUCAAUGUUUUCAAUAUAUUGUGAUGUUUUGGUGCUAAAUUCAUAAAUACAGUAAUUACUACAUAGCAUUACUGUGUAUUGAACUACUUUUUCUGCCAAAUUUGUUGUCUAACAUGAUGUUUUGGUGCUUCAUUUGUAAAAUCAUAACCUAAUUUGAUGUUUAAUAUGCUUUUCCUUAAUGCCUCCUUAUUAUCCAACAUAUUCGCUUAUCCAACAUUCUGCCGGCCCGUUUAUGUUGGAUAAGUGAGACUCUACUGUAGUUGGUAUAUGUGAGAAACGUCGUUUUUGUGGCCGCCACAAACUAUGUUGAAUUGGUUGAAACUCUUGGAGAUAUUCAUUGAAAGACUAUAGCAAAAUGUGCUGCAGGAUGGCUUGCGAAAACAAAGUUUUUACAGUUUAAUAAAUCUUUUCCAUGUUUUUAUGAGGGAACCAAUUAGGAAAUGACAGGAACAAAAAUCAUGUUACAUAGUGUUAUGACAAGCUUUCUGACUAUUUUAAUCACAUUUCUGGACUGCAACAUUUUUCUGAGGGUAUAAAUGAUGGUGAUGACGAUUGGAAAAUAAUACAACUCCUAGAAUUCCCAAACACCUGUCAGAACAAUACAUUCUAGAUGCCAUUUUCCAAACAAGUAAUAUUUGCAUGCUCUGGCUUCCAUUGACUUCCUAAUAUCUAAAUUCCUCAUUUCCUUCAUUCAUAUACGGGUUCGGAGGAAGAUGAUUAGAAAAUGAAAGUAAAAUGUGUUCAUAAAUCCAUGUGUUUCAAUAGAUGCAUUACAGAACAAUAAUUUGAGUAUUGUGAUUUCUUCUAGUCAUCCCAUCUUAACUUUGAUAUUGUUGUGUAACUGGAAACGAAAAACCAAAGAUGUUAUCCUUUAAAUGUGUUUUUAAUAAAUGAUCCAAUUAAUGUUGUCCAAGGCUUUCAUGGCUGUGUGGCCAUGUUCCAGAAGUAUUCUCUCCUGACGUUUCACCACAUCUAUGGCAGGUAUCCUCAGAGGUUGUGAGGUAUGGAACCAAUUAAUCCAAUUAAUAUUUUAUUUUGGUUUAAUUAAUCCAAUUGAACCAAAAUAUAGCUAGAAAAAUAUAUAGUACAAAGGUUUUUUUUAUAAAAAAAGAACAAACAAUCAAAUUAAUGUUUUAAUUGGAUCAUUUGUUCAUUUUUUUCUAGCUAUAUUUUAGUUUGACUUAUACUGUAAAUUACUUUGGAUCCCAUAUUGGAGAAAGGUGGGAUUUAAUUAAAGAAAGAUAUAGAUGAUGUGACAAUGAGCUCUGAGGCUGGAGCUACAGUGCCAUAUAAUACAGUUUGGAACUGCAUUAUAUGGUCAGUGUAGACCCAUGUAAUCAGUUCAGCACAGUUGGUAGUGUAGAUCCAGCCUAAGACAAUUCUUGUAUUUAGUAAACUGGAUGUUGAAUGGUUGCAUAUCUUUUCCUAACUCUGCAGUUUUUAAAGUUAACGCCCAAACAUGCCAUUUGUGUUUGCAGCCUAUGCAUGUGGCCAGAUUUCAUCAUUGUGGAGCCAUGAAAAACCAAAAAGCCAAUUUAUCUUCAAUGGUUCAUGCCAAAUAAGAGCCUUCCCAGUGUGACAGCUUCUAGACUGCAACCCCAUUAUAACAUCCUUCAAGGCCUGUUUAUAUGAGAAUGAUGGGCUCAUGAGACGGUUUCAGAAAGAAAAGGAGACAGCCUCGGGAGGGAUAGGAGAGAAGACAGGGAAAGAGGCAGCAGAACUGAACAGGAGCAACUUGAGAAACUGCAAGUCGCUUCUGGUGUGAGAGAAUUGGCUGUUUGCAAGGACAUUAUCCAGGGGGUGCCUGGAUGUUUUGAUGUUUUUACCAAUCUUCUGGGAGGCUUCUCUCAUGUCCCCACAUGGAGUUGGAGCUGAUAGACGGGGCUCAUCCGUGCUCUCCCUGGGUUGGAUUCGAACCGACAACCUUCAGGUGAGCAAUCCAACCUUCAAGUCACCAGUCCGGCCGGCACAAGGGUUUAACCCACUGCACCAGCGGGGGCUCCAGUCCAACAAGUGAUAUCCAAUGAAGAAGGCUAAGAAAAGGUGUGGGGUGGAGGAGUACAAGAAGAUGAUGAACCAGUUAUGCUAUUGGAGUGAUCCUUUUGAUGAAAGUAUUGGUGCAUAUCCAUCCAUCCAUCCAUCCAUCCAUCUAUAUCCUAGUUCUAGCAGUUGACAAAAGGCCAUACCUCAUCCCAACUGCCACUCCUGUGGACUCACAGAGAGAGAAGAUUAGGGAAUAUCUGCCAAAAUUAAACCACUCCUACACUGUUAUUCUGAUAAGCCACUCUGGGAAUCUUGGUCAGAGGGCAGGAUAUAAAUACUCUAAAUGAAUAUAUAUAUAUUCAUUUAUAAUAUGGUAGAAUUACGGACAAUUUUAAAUACAUAAAAUUGGAGAAAUGCUUGGUGGUGUCACUAUGUUAUAUUCAGCUUUCCUAAACAAAUCUGUGUCUGUGUGUCGCCAGUCACAAUGUAUUAAUUCAGUAACGUCAAUCAAUUACAUUAAUGAGUAAAUUUAGUAAGAGCUAAAGUAGAGUAGUAGCUUGAAUGUUGGAUUAAGGGUGCAACUAUCCUGUAGAGUUAAUGCAGCUUGACAUCACUUUAACAGUCAUUGUUGAAUGCUGUGGAAUCUCUGCCAAAGUGUUAGUGCCUAACCAAACUACAAGUUUUAGGAUUCUAUAGCAUUGAGCCAUGGCAGUUAAAAUGGUAUCAAACUGCCUCAAUUCUACAGUGCAGAUGCACCCAAGACUUCGGGAAGCCAGAAUUCAAACCCAUGAUCAGCCAUGGAAACCCACUGGGAGACCAGUCUGUCAGCCUAAGAAGAAGGCAACAGCAAAAUUCCUCAGAAUAAAUCUUGCCCAAUCACCAAAAGUCAGGAUUAGCUUCAAGACACAUAAAAACAAAUAAGAACUCCUGGAGAUAAGGAGACAAGGAGGCAAGGGAUAUAUUUGGAGUGCCUGUAAGUAGAAAAGCAACCAUAGAGCCCAAGUGAAUAAAAAGUGCACUAACUAUAUAUUGCAUGUAUUGUGAUAUUCCUGGAUAAUUUAGUGAUCCCACUUCCCAUAACUAUAAAAGUAAUUAGAAUUUAGGUUGCACUUCAAAAGGAGGGACCUUUUCCUUUACUAAGUUUCAUUCACAAUCAGGGCCGGCCCCACCAUGGAGGCCACGUGAGGCAGCCACCUUGGGAGCAGGUCCCCGAGGGGUGCCGUCAGGCUUCUCCCGCCCCAGCGGGGACCAUGGGCUCGCUCGCUGGUGAACAGGAAGGCCUGUUCGGCGACGAGCGAGCUCCACAUGGCCACUGCUGCCUGGGCAAGGCCAGCCAGGCCAGGGCGCACUGG